GCUCGAAAACUCGAAGACUUUGAUUAAUAAUAAUGAUAAAAGUUGAUCCUCAAACAUAGCACCUAAGGUUCUUUAUAUAGAGAAAACCUAAAGCAUAAAAUAAGAAAUUCCUAGAAAUAAGGAAAGUUACGAGAAUCCUAACUAGAAAAGGAAAACACUUAAAAUAGGAAAUAUCUAGAAAUAACUUGUAAGCUAGAAUAGAUUAGGUAUUGUAAUUGUCUCCUGCAUCAGUCUCCUCCACCUCAAAAGAACUCGUCCCCGAGUUUUUAUCUAGAUAAAGAACACCAUCGGCAUGAUACUCAUAGAUGUCCGCUACGUUGAACGUAUGAGAAAUGCUCAUGUCGUCUGGUAGAUCCACCACAUAAGCAUUGUCAUUAAGCUUUUGCAAAAUCUUGAAUGGACCAUACUUGCGAGGCUGAAGCUUGCGAUGAGUACCAACUGGAAACCUUUCUUUCUUGAGAAACACCAUUACUUCAUCACCUUCUUUGAAAACCUUGAGCCUCCGUUUUUUAUCUGCUGCCCUUUUGUUCUUUUGCCCAGUUGCUUCCAAUCUAGCUCGGACUGCUUCUUUAGUGUCCAAAAUGUCUUUAGCCAUAGCCUCAGCUGAUGCACUAACUCCAGGAGCUUGCGGUAGGGGAACUAAAUCAACCACAUGCUUCGGGACAGAGGUAUAUACCAACGUAAAUGGUGAUUUCCCUGUUGCGGAAUGUACGGCACUAUUGUAAGCGAACUCGACCUGCGGUAGAGCCAAAUCCCACUGCUUCAGUUUAUCACCACAAACACUUCUGAUCAUGUUACCCAGCGUCCUGUUUGUUACCUCGGUUUGCCCAUUACUCUAGGGAUGAGCUGUAGAGCUUCGUUUUAAACUUGUUCCAAACAUCCUCCAUAAUUUAAUCCAGAAGAGACUGAGAAACUUAGUAUCCCUGUCGGAAAAUAUUGACUUCGGAACCCCAUGGAGACGCACAACUUCUCGAAAGAACAAUUUGGCUAUGUUGGUUGCAUCUGCGGUCUUUCUACAAGCAAUGAAGUGUGUCAUUUUGGAGAACCUGUCAACAACAACAAACAUAGAAUCCACACCUCGCUGCGUCCUCGGCAACCCCAACACAAAAUCCAUAGAUAGGUCCUGCCAGAUAUCGUCAGGAACAAAUAACGGCAUGUAAAGACCUGUGUUCUGAGAUUGUCCCUUAGAAACCUGACAAACAAAACACCUCCGAACAAUAGCUCCAGCGUCUUUCCUAAGAUGCGGCCAAUAGUACCUUUCCUCCAAGCUUGCAAUUGUCUUAUCCCGUCCCAAAUGACCACUAAGACCACCACCGUGCAAUUCUCGGAUCAGCUUCUCUCGUAACGACGAGCAAGGAAUGCACAGUCUGUCACCUUUAAAUAAAUAGCCUUCGCAAAUAUGGAAGUAUGCAGAAGGAUGCUUACCGUUGCAUUUGUCCCAUGAUUCCUUGAAUUCAGCAUCAGUUUCAUAUAACUCUUUCAAAAAUUCGAAACCCACAAUCUCAUCUGCUAAGGUAGUUAGCAAGGAAGCCCUUCUACUCAAAGCAUCAGCUACCUUGUUAAGAGCUCCGGACUUAUGCUGAAUUAUGAAAGGAAAUUUUUGCAGAAAACUUACCCAACGAGCAUGCAUCUUAUUUAUCACUUUCUGGCUGUGCAGAAACUUCAGAGCUUGGUGGUCAGUGAACAGAAUAAACUCUCGCUGAACCAGAUAAUGCUCCCAUUGUCGAAGAGCUCGAAAUACCGCAUAGAACUCUUGAUCAUAAGUACUCCAUUUCUGUCGUGCUUCGCUUAGCUUUUCACUAAAGAAAGCUAUUGGUCUUUUCUCCUGAGACAACACAGCACCAAUUCCUACACCACUAGCAUCGCAUUCCACUUGGAAUAUCUUAUCAAAAUCCGGCAAUGCUAACACAGGAGCAGUACAAAGCUUCUCCUUAAUCAAUGCAAAACUCUCGUCUUGUUCUGGUCCCCAGUGAAACUUCCAUUUCUUCAAGCAUUCGGUAAUAGGCGCAGUAAUAGUACUGAAGUCUCUUACAAAUCUCCUGUAGAAAGUAGCCAAACCAUGAAAGCUGCGUACCUCCGUUGCGGUUUUGGGAACGGGCCAGUCUUUUAUUGCACGCACUUUGGCGUCAUCUACUUGAAUCCCAUCCUUUCCAACGACAAACCCUAAAAACAGCAACUGGUUUAUGCAGAAUGUGCAUUUCUUUAAAUUCACGUACAACUCAUUUUCUUGGAGGACUUGCAACACCUGCCUUAUAUGCUCCAAAUGGUCGUCCUUGGCUUUGCUAUAGAUCAAAAUGUCAUCGAAGUAUACUACCACAAAGGACCCAAUGAAAGGACGGGAACCUGAUUCAUCAAUCUCAUGAAAGUACUAGGUGCGUUUGACAAGCCGAAAGGCAUCACUAACCACUCGUACAAUCCGUCUUUACUCUUAAAAGCAGUCUUCCAUUCAUCUCCAGACCUGAUUCGAAUCUGAUGGUACCCACUUCGAAGAUCUAUUUUUGAAAACACCUUUGAUCCAUUCAACUCAUCAAGCAUGUCUUCCAACCGAGGGAUAGGAAACCGGUAUUUAAUUGUGAUCUUAUUGAUGGCUCUAGAAUCAACGCACAUUCGCCACUGAUUACCCUUCUUCGGAACGAGAAGAACCGGUACAGCACAAGGGCUCAUGCUCUCGCAGAUUAACCCUUUCUUCAGCAAAUCUUCGAUCUGUGUCCUUACAAUUUCAUUCUCUUUACGCCUCAUUCGAUAGUGGGGAAGAUUAGGUAGACUAGAACCUGGGAUCAGGUCAAUGUGAUGCUGUAUAUCACGCAUAGGAGGCAGGUUGUCAGGUAGUUCCUCAGCAACUAACUCCUUGUAAUCUUCCAAAAUUUCUAACACCUCACGUGGAGUUGUUGUCUCUUCCGUCACGACACUCAUCAACCCCUUGACCACAACCGGAUAAAAACAUUGUGAUUCCUUAAUAGCCUUGUCAAGUUCUUUAUCAUCAUGCGACAUGACUAGGAAGCUUGACUUCUUCUCUUUUGCAACGCUACUAAAAUCCUUGACAGGAGCCAUUGCAAUCUUAUGAUUCCCCCAUGUAAACAUGAUCACAUUGUCUCGUCCUCGGUACGUAAUGUCGUUAUCGUACUGCCAUGGUCGCCCAAGGAGAAUAUGACAAACAUCCAUAUCCAAAACGUCACAGAUUAUCUCCUCUUUGUAAUGCUUACCAAUUGAUAAAGGAAUUUUGCAAGUUUCACUAACUCCUACUUUGGAUCCUUUCUUCACCCAUCCGAGACCAUACGGCUUCUCAUGACGAGUCGUGGGUAUUUUCAAAUAUUCCACCAGCUUUUGAGAAACUAAAUUCUCGGAGCUCCCAUUGUCAACAAUCAUAUUGCACACCUUGUUCUGAAUAGAACAAUGCGUUCUAAACAGAUUCUUGCGUUGUCCCUCUUCUUUGGAUGAUAGCAACAGUCGCUGUAAAACAAUGCUGAUUCUGUCCUCAGAUUCCUCUUCCGCAAAUUCCACUCCCUCAUACUCCUCAUUCUCCAUAAAGUCGUCUUCCUCUUCUUCUAGCAAUGCAACCGUCUUCCUACUGGGACAAACAUUCGACUUGUGACCUGUUCCUUGACAACGGAAACACUUGUCGAGGGUUGGCCUAGCAUAAGGAGUGUUCUGUUUCGGAGCGGGUGCUUUGUCCUUCUGAAUGCCACUAGUGGAACUACUUGUUCCUUUGUUGUUAGGGUUGGAAUCUCUGUUAAUCACGCCUUUGUCCUUCUCUCCGGCUGGUUCGACGUUGCUAUGAACCGAGGGUCUCCUGAAAUUUGUGAAACCCCGCGAUGAUUUCUCCAUCAAUUCCGCUUUCAAGGCUAGCCACCUUCUGGUUCUCUGUUUCGUUUAAGUCACUACGUUCAGAGAAACGUAAGAACUCUGCUGUAUAAUCAGUCACGGUCCUACUUCCUUGUACACAAUCAAUGUACAUCUUGUAAAGAAUCUGCUCGUAGUCCUCCGGUAAGAACCGCUCAGUCAUUAGCUGUUUCAUUCGGCGCCAUGUUCUAACUGGACCCUUCCUCUGUCUUUGCCUUUGAAUAGCCAAUUUAUCCCACCAAACAGCAGCAGUCUUCUUUAACCGGAUAGCCACCAUCUUAACCUGUUUACUCUCAGGGACUUCCAUAACAUCAAAGAACCGAUCAACAUCAAUUUGCUAAUCAAGAAAUUCCUCUACACUCAUAGUCCCAUAGAACAAUGGAAUAUCAGCUUUCACUCGGUAAUCCUGAUUAUUUUGAUUCCCUUGUUCUUCCACUUCCUCUUCCAAUUCCUCCUCCGAGCUGGAAUCAUCAACAGUGACACGGUUAUGUCUGCCUUGUUGUCGAUUGUGUCUGCCUUGUUGAUUCUGAUUUCGUCCCAUUCCUUCUCCUCCUCCUUGUCCUGCGUUAGCAAUCUGAUUGGUUAAUGCUGCAAUCUGAUUAGUUAACGCUGCCACCAGAUUUGCCAGGUUCGUGGUUGAGUCUUUCAAACUCACUGUGAAACCCUCUAUGUCGGCCCUGGUUACUGGUUGAUCACCCAUAGCUGUUCAAGCUUCGAAAAGAGUAGGAGAUUGCCUGCUCUGAUACCACUUGACGCAGUCGGAUGCACUAAGACAACAAACGUUAGUCUUAGAAUUGAAGGUUCAAGUUCGCGAGUGUCAAACUUGAAGAAAAAGCUCUGGAAUCCACCAGAAAAAGGUAAAGCUCAAAAACUCGAAGACUUUGAUUAAUAAUAACGAUAAAAGUUGAUCCUCAAACAUAGCACCUAAGGUUCUUUAUAUAGAGAAAACCUAAAGCAUAAAAUAAGAAAUUCCUAGAAAUAAGGAAAGUUACUAGAAUCCUAACUAGAAAAGGAAAACACUUAAAAUAGGAAAUAUCUAGAAAUAACUUGUAAGCUAGAAUAGAUUAGGUAUUGUAACUGUCUCCUGCAUCA
rnacentral:lncRNA from 1 species